CCUACGGGUGGCAGCAGUGAGGAAUAUUGGUCAAUGGGCGGAAGCCUGAACCAGCCAAGUCGCGUGAGGGAAUAAGGCCCUACGGGUCGUAAACCUCUUUUGCCGGGGAGCAAGGGCCGGGACGAGUACCGGUCCGGAGAGUACCCGGAGAAAAAGCAUCGGCUAACUCGGGGCCAGCAGCCGCGGUAAUCGGGAGGAUGCGAGCUUUAUCCGGAUUUAUUGGGUUUAAAGGGUGCGUAGGCGGGCUUUUAAGUCAGCGGGAAAAUUUCGGGGCCCAACCCCGUCCGGCCGUUGAAACUGGGAGCCUUGAGUGGGCGAGAAGAAGGCGGAAUGCGUGGUGUAGCGGUGAAAUGCAUAGAUAUCACGCAGAACCCCGAUUGCGAAGGCAGCCUUCCGGCGCCCUACUGACGCUGAGGCACGAAAGUGCGGGGAUCGAACAGGAUUAGAUACCCUGGUAGUC
rnacentral:rRNA from 1 species